CAGUCGCCGCGGUAAAACCAGCACCUCGAGUGGUCAGGAGGUUUAUUGGGCCUAAAGCAUCCGUAGCCGGUUGCAUAAGUUUUCGGUUAAAUCUAUGCGCCUAGCGUAUAGGCCGCCGAAAAUACUGUGCAGCUAGGGAGUGGGAGAGGUACACGGUACUCGAUAGGAAGGGGUAAAAUCCUUUGAUCUAUUGAUGACCACCUGUGGCGAAGGCGGUGUACCAGAACACGUUCGACGGUGAGGGAUGAAAGCUGGGGGAGCAAACCGGAUUAGAUACCCCCGUAGUCCCUGUCUCUUAUAC
rnacentral:rRNA from 1 species